rnacentral:rRNA from 1 species
UACGGAGGGUGCGAGCGUUGUCCGGAAUCACUGGGCGUAAAGGGCGCGUAGGCGGCGCGGGUAGUCAUCGGUGAAAGUUCAGGGCUCAACUCUGAAUCGGCCGGUGAUACUCUCGUGCUUGAGCACUGUAGAGGCAGGUGGAAUUCCGGGUGUAGCGGUGGAAUGCGUAGAGAUCCGGGAAGAACACCGGUGGCGAAGGCGGCCUGCUGGGCAGUAGCUGACGCUGAUGCGCGACAGCGUGGGGAGCAAACAGG